AAUCCCCCACACUGGUACUGAGACACGGACCAGACUCCUACGGGAGGCAGCAGUAAGGAAUAUUGGUCAAUGGGCGGAAGCCUGAACCAGCCAUGCCGCGUGCAGGAUGACUGCCCUAUGGGUUGUAAACUGCUUUUGUCCAGGAAUAAACCUAGAUACGUGUAUCUAGCUGAAUGUACUGGAAGAAUAAGGAUCGGCUAACUCCGUGCCAGCAGCCGCGGUAAUACGGAGGAUCCGAGCGUUAUCCGGAUUUAUUGGGUUUAAAGGGUGCGUAGGCGGCCUAUUAAGUCAGGGGUGAAAUACGGUGGCUCAACCAUCGCAGUGCCUUUGAUACUGAUGGGCUUGAAUCCAUUUGAAGUGGGCGGAAUAAGACAAGUAGCGGUGAAAUGCAUAGAUAUGUCUUAGAACUCCGAUUGCGAAGGCAGCUCACUAAGCUGGUAUUGACGCUGAUGCACGAAAGCGUGGGGAUCGAACAGGAUUAGAUACCCUGGUAGUCCACGCCCUAAACGAUGAUAACUCGAUGUUGGCGAUAGACAGCCAGCGUCUUAGCGAAAGCGUUAAGUUAUCCACCUGGGGAGUACGCCCGCAAGGGUGAAACUCAAAGGAAUUGACGGGGGCCCGCACAAGCGGAGGAGCAUGUGGUUUAAUUCGAUGAUACGCGAGGAACCUUACCCGGGCUUGAAAGUUAGUGAAGAGACCAGAGACGGUCUCGUCCUUCGGGACACGAAACUAGGUGCUGCAUGGCUGUCGUCAGCUCGUGCCGUGAGGUGUUGGGUUAAGUCCCGCAACGAGCGCAACCCCUAUGUUUAGUUGCCAGCAUGUAAUGGUGGGGACUCUAAACAGACUGCCUGUGCAAACAGUGAGGAAGGUGGGGACGACGUCAAGUCAUCAUGGCCCUUACGUCCGGGGCUACACACGUGCUACAAUGGAUGGUACAGCGGGCAGCUACAUAGCAAUAUGAUGCUAAUCUCUAAAAGCCAUUCACAGUUCGGAUUGGGGUCUGCAACUCGACCCCAUGAAGUUGGAUUCGCUAGUAAUCGCGUAUCAGCAAUGACGCGGUGAAUACGUUCCCGGGCCUUGUACACACCGCCCGUCAAGCCAUGAAAGUUGGGGGUACCUAAAGCAUGUGACCGCAAGGAGCG
rnacentral:rRNA from 1 species